CAAUUUAUAAUAAUUACUAAUGGACUACUUAGACUACUAACAUAUAAAGUCAAAUACUUAAAGCCCUAACAAUACUAUUAUCUAACACCUGGAACAACCAGUCUUGUGGUGGUACGGAAGGCACAGAGCUCAUAUGUAUGGAGAAAAUUCGGUCGGGAGGGGAGAACCCAAUGUGCCCCACAGGUUCUCUGAUGGACGGCAGUGGAAACUUCGUACCAACUACCAAUAUC
rnacentral:lncRNA from 1 species